AGAACGUGGCAAAAUCCCACCCUUAGCAGCUACAGUGCAAAUGUUUUUGACCCCUGAUUGCCUUAGACCUACUUUUUUCUCUGGCCUAGGAGUGGAGCACAGCUAAAGCAUGUGCAAUUUGCUUUGGGAUGCUGUUGAAAGAUUUGUGGCAUGGCCAGAACGACAUGGUUUCCCACAAGCGAUUUUUAGUUUUCCGUGAAGAGUUGGCAAUGCUGGGGUAUAUGCCACUGGAUGCGAUUUCUGCUCCCCAUUCACAGCUCUAUGGCAUUCCUUUCCAGCGUGAAGCCAUAGCAAUGCUCAGCUCUCAAAGCAAAAAUCGAUGCAGCCAUUAGCUAUGCUAAAUUGAAAUCUUAUGAACUACGGUGUGGUUACAUAAAAUGCCAAUUAGUAUGUGGUUUACAUUGUUGCACAUAAAUGUUUUUCAUUAUAUUUUACUGUCAGCAAAUGCUGGUGUGAAACCAGUUUCCAUUCCUCAUAUGGCCACCAUGAGGAGUUUCAGAAAACACACCAGCACGGCUGAACUAUUCCUUCAGAUUUGUUGUUCGCCCGUCCCCCGGCAACUUCGACUUCUCCACCCAAAGCGACAGGAAUGGAAAUUUUCAUCAUGGAUGGGCACAGCAUAAAAUGCGGCAUUUGUUUGUUCAGCCUCUGUUGCGACAUACGCUCUCCGCUCUCAUGCACGCAUCAAAGCCUGAACAAGUGCAGAAACGGCAGCUCCCGCUUGCUGCUACUGCUGUUUGUUGUGGUUAUAAAAUCCUAUUUUAGAUAAUGUUGCUUCGUCGAUAAAGCGUUGAGUCAUAGGAUCUGAGAGAUAUUGUACAAAUAACCACUGGGGGCCCGUAUCUAUUAAGCUGUCUAGGAUGCUUCCUAUUAAAUAAUAACCAAAUGCCGUAAUAAUAA